UUAUGAACAGUGUCGGCUGGGUUGGAGCCGUUUUCUCUUAUGGCUGGAUUUGUUUGGUCGGCGGCUGGUAUGAAGUCGGGUGGCUUUGUCUAAAAUUGAUCCUCACUGCCUCUGUCUUUGUAAUCGCUUUUAUCUUUCUAUCACAUGGUCACCGUCUUUCCAUCUUCCAAUCAAGAUGAACACUGUCUUAUUCGGCUUAGUCUUAUUCAAUAUUAAUCUCAGGAGAGAAGCAUCAGGUCUAUCACCAACUCCAAAAAUCCUAAUUGCUUUUCAAUUUCAUUCAUAUAUCUCUGCUCUGUCUUGCCGAUUGAAACGAAGUAGGUCUUCAAUUUACAUCGCUGACUUCCAAUGACCACAUAACGUUGCGUCCUACUGGAAAUAUCCAUAACCCACCCAUUUCAGGCGAAGGGAGAAGAUAACAAUACUUUUAAUUAGGGUUCCAGACGUAAUUUCUUUGGAAAUACCCCUUCAACAGUUCAACUGACACAAAUUGAAAGGGAUGCUCGAUUUCCGCUUCUGUGUGUUUAUGGUGUUGAAGAAGAAUGUCAAGUGUUCCAUAGUUUGAGUAAAGUUAUUGGGGCAUUGAGGCGGAAGAGCAAGUGGCAAACACCAUGUUGAAGGAAAAAAGGAGUAAGAUACAAGGACGAAAAGGGAACGGCUUGGGCCUUGGAAGAUAUACUGUUCACAAACCAGAACGGGAUUGGAGAUGCCGAGAUGGUACUCCUGGUUCCAAGGGCAAGAGCUCGGGUUGACUACAUCGCACACACCACAUGGAUUGAGUUAUCCCUCUGAUUGUUACUAUGUUGAUAUACUUAUUUUGAUUUGGGUUGUAUGGAUUAUGUUUUGAAAUACCGUUUUAUUUAAUUUAAAAAUUAAAUCUUUGGAUAAUAUUUUUGGGACAAGACAGUCACGUUGGAUUGGUUGUUGGAUUUCAAAAAGGCUAUAUGUCGAAAGGGUCUUACCUCCCAACCGUCCUGUCUGACUGAUCCUUACUUGAUAGAUCUUGAUGUAGACAUUGGAAUUAGUGAGAAAUAUAGACUACUAUUAGUCACCAUGAUCAUUAGACUAAAACUAUGUAUAAAUCAUACUUAAGUCACGUUAAGGGAAUAUCUAAGGUGUUAGGCGAAAC